AACCUAGCACACCUGCGGUGUGUACCUGCGGAAGGAUCAUUACACAACAAAAUAUGAAGGUCUGGCUUCGCGGCCGGCUGAAGUAUUUUUUUUCACCCAUGUCUUUUGCGCACUUGUUGUUUCCUGGGCGGGUUCGCCCGCCACCAGGACCAAACCAUAAACCUUUUUUUUAUGUAGUUGCAAUCAGCGUCAGUAAAAACAAUGUAAUUAUUACAACUUUUAACAAUGGAUCUCAGAUCG
rnacentral:misc_RNA from 1 species